rnacentral:rRNA from 1 species
AUAUCAAUAAGCGGAGGAAAAGAAACUAACAAGGAUUCCCCUAGUAACUGCGAGUGAAGCGGGAAAAGCUCAAAUUUGAAAUCUGGCGGUUCUGAACCGUCCGAGUUGUAAUUUAGAGAAGCGUCUUCCGCGCCGGACCGUGCACAAGUCUCCUGGAAUGGAGCGUCAUAGAGGGUGAGAAUCCCGUCUUUGACACGGACUGCCAGGGCAUUGUGAUGCGCUCUCGAAGAGUCGAGUUGUUUGGGAAUGCAGCUCAAAAUGGGUGGUAAAUUCCAUCUAGAGCUAAAUAUUGGCGAGAGACCGAUAGCGCACAAGUA